rnacentral:rRNA from 1 species
UACGUAGGGUGCAAGCGUUGUCCGGAAUUAUUGGGCGUAAAGAGCUCGUAGGCGGUCUGUCGCGUUCGGCUGUGAAAACCCGGGGCUCAACCCCGGGCCCUGCAGUUCGAUACGGGCAGACUAGAGUGCGGUAGGGGAGACUGGAAUUCCUGGUGUAGCGGUGAAAUGCGCAGAUAUCAGGAGGAACACCGGUGGCGAAGGCGGGUCUCUGGGCCGUAACUGACGCUGAGGAGCGAAAGCGUGGGAGCGAACGGAUAGACUACCGUGG